AAUAUUUGACAAUGGGCGAAAGCCUGAUCCAGCCAUGCCGCGUGUGUGAAGAAGGUCUUCGGAUUGUAAAGCACUCUUAGUUGGGAGGAAGGGCAGUAAGUUAAUACCUUGCUGUUUUGACGUUACCGACAGAAUAAGCACCGGCUAACUUCGUGCCAGCAACCGCGGUAAUACGAAGGGUGCAAGCGUUAAUCGGAAUUACUGGGCGUGAAGCGCGCGUAGGUGGUUUGUUAAGUUGGAAGUGAAAGCCCCGGGCUCAACCUGGGAACUGCUUUCAAAACUGACGAGCUAGAGUACGGUAGGGGGUAGUGGAAUUUCCUGUGUAGCGGUGAAAUGCGUAGAUAUAGGAAGGAACAUCAGUGGCGAAGGCGACUACCUGGACUGAUACUGACACUGAGGUGCGAAAGCGUGGGGAGCAAACAGG
rnacentral:rRNA from 1 species